ACUACGGGAGGCAGCAGUGGGGAAUAUUGGGCAAUGGGCGCAAGCCUGACCCAGCAACGCCGCGUGAAGGAAGAAGGCUUUCGGGUUGUAAACUUCUUUUCUGAGGGACGAAGAAAGUGACGGUACCUCAGGAAUAAGCCACGGCUAACUACGUGCCAGCAGCCGCGGUAAUACGUAGGUGGCAAGCGUUAUCCGGAGUUAUUGGGUGUAAAGGGCGUGUAGGCGGGAAAGCAAGUCAGAUGUGAAAACUCAGGGCUCAACCCUGAGCCUGCAUUUGAAACUGUUUUUCUUGAGUGCUGGAGAGGCAAUCGGAAUUCCGUGUGUAGCGGUGAAAUGCGUAGAUAUACGGAGGAACACCAGUGGCGAAGGCGGAUUGCUGGACAGUAACUGACGCUGAGGCGCGAAAGCGUGGGUAUCGAACAGGAUUAGAUACCCUAGUAGUC
rnacentral:rRNA from 1 species